GACGAACGCUGGCGGCGUGCUUAACACAUGCAAGUCGAGCGGUAAGGCCCUUUCGGGGGUACACGAGCGGCGAACGGGUGAGUAACACGUGGGUGACCUGCCCUUAGCUCUGGGGUAAGCCUGGGAAACUGGGUCUAAUACCGGAUAUGACUCCAUAACGCAUGUUGUGGGGUGGAAAGCCUUGUGCGGCUAGGGAUGGGCCCGCGGCCUAUCAGCUUGUUGGUGGGGUGAUGGCCUACCAAGGCGACGACGGGUAGCCGGCCUGAGAGGGCGACCGGCCACACUGGGACUGAGACACGGCCCAGACUCCUACGGGAGGCAGCAGUGGGGAAUCUUGCGCAAUGGGCGAAAGCCUGACGCAGCGACGCCGCGUGGGGAUGAC
rnacentral:rRNA from 1 species